GACGAACGCCGGCGGCGUGCUUAACACAUGCAAGUCGAACGAAGAGCGAUGGAAGCUUGCUUCCAUCAAUUUUAGUGGCGAACGGGUGAGUAACGCGUAAUCAACCUGCCCUUCAGAGGGGGACAACAGUUGGAAACGACUGCUAAUACCGCAUACGAUCUAACCUUGGCAUCGAGGAUGGAUGAAAGGUGGCCUCUAUUUAUAAGCUAUCACUGAAGGAGGGGAUUGCGUCUGAUUAGCUAGUUGGAGGGGUAACGGCCCACCAAGGCGAUGAUCAGUAGCCGGUCUGAGAGGAUGAACGGCCACAUUGGGACUGAGACACGGCCAGACUCCUACGGGAGGCAGCAGUGGGGAAUCUUCCGCAAUGGACGAAAGUCUGACGGAGCAACGCCGCGUGAGUGAUGACGGCCUUCGGGUUGUAAAGCUCUG
rnacentral:rRNA from 1 species